UAAUAGUGUUUAUGGCACUUCUUAAAUCCAUAUCCACCUUGUGUGCAAUGUCAGCCGUUUUCUUUAUGAGAGCGGCCAAACAUCAACUUAUUUUUUAACUGUCUGUCUGAAAACUAUUAUGAAUAAACAAUUCAAAUA
rnacentral:misc_RNA from 1 species